GUGUCAGCCGCCGCGGUAAUACGUAGGUGGCAAGCGUUGUCCGGAAUUACUGGGCGUAAAGCGUGCGUAGGCGGAUUCUUAAGUCUGAUGUGAAAUCCCAGGGCUUAACUUUGGAGCUGCAUUGGAAACUGGGAGUCUUGAGUGCAGAAGAGGAAAGCGGAAUUCCUAGUGUAGCGGUGAAAUGCGUAGAGAUUAGGAGGAAAACCAGUGGCGAAGGCGGCUUUCUGGUCUGCAACUGAAGCUGAGGCGUGAAAG
rnacentral:rRNA from 1 species